GAUGAAGAACGUAGCGAAAUGCGAUAAGUAAUGUGAAUUGCAGAAUUCAGUGAAUCAUCGAAUCUUUGAACGCACAUUGCGCCCGCCAGUAUUCUGGCGGGCAUGCCUGUUCGAGCGUCAUUUCAACCAUCAAGCCCCAGGCUUGUGUUGGGGACCUGCGGCUGCCGCAGGCCCUGAAAACCAGUGGCGGGCUCGCUGUCACACCGGGCGUAGUAGAUUUUAUCUCGCUCAGGGCGUGCUGCGGGUCCCGGCCGUUAAAAGCCUUUUUUUACCCAAGGUUGACCUCGGAUCAGGUAGGAAGACCCGCUGAACUUAAGCAUAUAAUAAGCGGAGGA
rnacentral:misc_RNA from 1 species